CACGUAGGGGGCGAGCGUUGUCCGGAUUUAUUGGGCGUAAAGAGCUCGUAGGCGGCUCAGUAAGUCAGGUGUGAAAACUCCAGGCUCAACCUGGAGACGCCACCUGAUACUGCUGUGGCUAGAGUCCGGUAGGGGAGCAUGGAAUUCCUGGUGUAGCGGUGAAAUGCGCAGAUAUCAGGAGGAACACCAGUGGCGGAAGGCGGUGCUCUGGGCCGGAACUGACGCUGGAGGAGCGAAAGCGUGGGAGCAAACAGG
rnacentral:rRNA from 1 species